ACCCGGACUCCCGUCCAGGCGCACCGGCCGGCCUCGGAGCUCUACCAGCAGGCUUUCAUGGGAGCGGAGGUGCCCACGUUUCCAUUGUGCGGUAACCGCGCUUCAUCACAGCCACCUCCAAUCGAGGCCGCACGGUGUCCCCAGAACCACGCUCGGUACAACCUGCCCCGGCCGCUGCGCUCGACUUGGGAGCGCGCCCCGCCCCGAGCGCACGACCUCCCUUCCCUCUCCGCGACUUGAGCUUGCUUCCCGGAAAGCCAGUGUAGUGGCAGCGGUUUGCCUCACAGCGCCCCUGGCAGCACUGAGAAGUGAAGGAAUAUUUGGGAGGAUCAGAAGCUUGGUCCUGAUUUUGCCAUCAACAGGAACUUGAUGACUUCAAGGGAGUCCCCAAACCCUGGGUUUCUGUUUUCUCAACUCUAACAUGAGGGGCUAGAUGCAUCUGGUUUAGUUAGUCUCCAUGAUGGUUUAGUUCGUCUCCAUGAUCCUGUGAAUUUCAGAUGUUGAAAAUCUUCGGAAAAGCCCUGAAAGAUGAACAGUCUUCACCAACCUCCUCCCUCCAGAAUAUUCCUCAAGAAUAUAAAAUGCCUCAUCAACAUGAGACAACAGCAGGAAGCACCCAUUCGUAGUAAUCCUCUGUAUGGAGGAGGCUGUUACAUAACCACAAAGGCACAAAGCUGCAGUUUUGAGAACAUCUUCCCACGCCAGUUCUAAGCAUUGACUUCAACUAUGGUUGCUAACACAAGAAUCGGCACUGGUGACUUUUGAGCCAUCAAUCAUCCUUUCCUAACACAUGAAUCUUUUGGAAAAUGGUCUCAAAUAGUCAAGACCCCCUGCUGGGAGGAGCUUCUAUCCUGCUCUGUGGAA
rnacentral:lncRNA from 10 species